rnacentral:rRNA from 1 species
AAUGAACGUUGGCGGCGUGGAUUAGGCAUGCAAGUCGCGCGAGAAAUUUCCUUCGGGAGAUGGACAGCGGCGGAAGGGAGAGGAAUAAGUAGAAAUCUGCCCUCGGGACGGGGAUAGCGGCGGGAAACUGCCGGUAAUACCCGAUAACAUCUUAGGAUCAAAUGGUGUGAUUCCGCCUGAGGAUGAGUCUACUUCCUAUUAGCUAGUUGCGGGGUAAUGGCCCACCAAGGCAACGAUGGGUAGCGGGUGUGAGAGCACGAUCCGCCUCACUGGGACUGAGACACUGCCCAGACACCUACGGGUGCUGCAGUCGAGAAUCUUCGGCAAUGGGGGAAACCCUGACCGAGCGACGCCGCGUGCGGGAUGAAGGCCCUCGGGUUGUAAACCGG